rnacentral:rRNA from 1 species
AUAACGUUCGGAAACGGACGCUAAUACCGCAUACGUCCUACGGGAGAAAGCAGGGGACCUUCGGGCCUUGCGCUAUCAGAUGAGCCUAGGUCGGAUUAGCUAGUUGGUGAGGUAAUGGCUCACCAAGGCGACGAUCCGUAACUGGUCUGAGAGGAUGAUCAGUCACACUGGAACUGAGACACGGUCCAGACUCCUACGGGAGGCAGCAGUGGGGAAUAUUGGACAAUGGGNRAAAGCCUGAUCCAGCCAUGCCGCGUGUGUGAAGAAGGUCUUCGGAUUGUAAAGCACUUUAAGUUGGGAGGAAGGGCAGUUACCUAAUACGUGAUUGUUUUGACGUUACCGACAGAAUAAGCACCGGCUAAC